rnacentral:lncRNA from 1 species
GGGGAGAGUUCACUGCCACUGUUCGUGCAGGUGCCCAGCACCUCUGCCCUCAGGGUGGAGAGGAAAAUGCCCGUGUGCAGCCAGCCUGAGCCCCAGCACUCAGCUCCAGAUUGGAGCCUGCAGCAGCUGCCAUCCAUCAUGCUUGGACUGCGGCCCGUGGGCUGGUGAUGGCCGUCCACUCUCGGGGCCCAGCCCGGCUGGAGACCCAGGGAGAGCAGUGAUU